rnacentral:lncRNA from 1 species
AUCCGCUCAGCUGCCGCUCCACCAAGACAGGCUUAAGUCAAACCAGACCCGGAAGAGCUGGGUAAGUGGGGAGGUCCUGGGAGGCCUGAAGGGGCUGGACUAAUAGUUGCCCAAACUUUAUUCCUCCGGCCUCUGGACGGACAAGCAGGAACAGCUAGCUGAGACAGAAGGGGCCCACAGCAGCCCAAUACCCCAGGGGCUGGCAAGGACACUAACCUUAACCUAAACCUAUCUAGCCCAGCUAUGCCAGAGCAGGGGAGGGAGUCAGGUCCUGGAUGACUGCUAGAGCAGAUCAUAGCAGGCUGGCUUACACUGCUGUAUUAAGUGGGGAGCAUGCAGCCAGAGACAAGGCUGGACUCACACCACCUAGGCCAAAAUUGGCUUAGAUGUAUCUGUUUUCCUACUCCUGAAAUGGGAAUGAAUCAUGCUUCCACCUCCCCCCACGGUGACAGAGACAGAAAAGCUUGCCUGAGACAGGUGCCAGGAAACAAGCCUGUUCAGUGGGCAGGGGACCGAGAACUCUAGACCAAUGUCUUACAAGCCUCCAAGACCACAGCCAUGACUCUACUCCCCCACACCCUAGGCUUCACCCACAUCCACAUCCCAGAAAGAUCCCAUCCUCGUCACUCCUGGGUGGUAGCCUUGCAUACAGGGUGCCCUGGACAGAGACCAGGGGAGUUUCCUCCUGCCACAAUGACCAUGUAACCCCCAGCCCUAUCUUGCCUGCCACCACCCUUCCCAGACUGGGUAGACACACUAGCUCCAGGUAUGCAGGAAAAGGACAGGCCAGAGCAGAGAGCAGAGUCCAUAAGGAAAGGAUCACAGGCCAUCCAGGCUCAGGAGGCCCUGCCCCCAGCCUGCCAGCUUAAUUGACUGGGACAGGUGGUCUCAACAGCUGCAGUUGGGGGCUUGUGAGUUCAGCUGUCCAUCCACCUGCCCAGCAAUGGUCCACAUGCACAACCAGGUCCUAGGGACACAGCCCAGUAGAGGCUAACUCCAGGGAGGGACCACUGGCAGAGCGUGGAUACCAUUCCUCAGCUAGGGGAAUUGUGGGCAUCAGGGAGGUUAUAGACAUGAGUGUGUUGCAGUACUCUGCAUUGAGCCAAGCCAUGCUCAGGCCUGACAGGACCUUUGUGCACAUCAGUGUCACAGUGUCUCUGGGUACAUAUGUGAUGAUGGAGUUUAUGUUUUGAAUAUGAAAUGCCUGCCAUAGGCUCAUGUGUUUAAAUACUUCAUUCCCAGCUGCUGCCACUGUAGAGAGAGGUUGCAGAAUCUUUCAGAUGUGGGAGUCUCGUUAAAAAGUGCAUCACUUGGGGUGGACCCUGAGGUUUACAGUCUGGCUCCACUUGCCUUUCUGCUGCCAUGACCUCCCCUACUAUAAUGGACUCUAUCCCACGGCGAGCAAAAAUAAACCCCUUUCCUUU